UUAAUUGAAGAGUUUGAUCAUGGCUCAGAUUGAACGCUGGCGGCAGGCCUAACACAUGCAAGUCGGGCGGUAACAGGGAGAAGCUUGCUUCUCUGCUGACGAGCGGCGGACGGGUGAGUAAUGUAUGGGGAUCUGCCUGAUGGCGGGGGAUAACUACUGGAAACGGUAGCUAAUACCGCAUAAUGUCUUCGGACCAAAGCGGGGGACCUCCGGGCCUCGCGCCAUCAGAUGAACCCAUAUGGGAUUAGCUAGUAGGUGAGGUAACGGCUUACCUAGGCGACGAUCCCUAGCUGGUCUGAGAGGAUGAUCAGCCACACUGGGACUGAGACACGG
rnacentral:rRNA from 2 species